rnacentral:snoRNA from 1 species
AGGACACUCAACACAUUUGAUAUGUUCAAUUAGAUUGCAUUAGUGGGGCUAAUGGAGUUAGUUCUGACGCUAAGAUUCGAAGUAUUUUCGGUUUUAGUAUUUAGGCUUCUUCUGUUAAUUCUAAUAUCUGAUAUAUAUCUUCCCUACGCAUAAAGAAUAAGCUCGAGAUGCCCAAAUUUGGAACUUUGUUCUACGCCUUUUUCGCUAACAACGGCUGAAAUUUUGACCCCACAGCUCGUAGUUUGAUAGUAGAUGGGCGGAAAUAU